GUGUAAAUAGUUUCUCUGGUCCGAACUUCCGAGGUUUCCUUAUAUUUUCCUUCCUUUAUUAUCACUUCUUUCUCAGAUAUCUCUUUCCAUCUCAUUUCCUAUUCCUAAACGAGUGAAAAACCAAAUAAAAAUCUCAAUCUCGGUUUCUCAUCGUCUUCUCUUGUCUUUCUUAUACUCAGAUUCAUCAUUGAAACCCUCCAUGAAAACUCUGCACUUGUUUACAUCGAUUAAGAUUUGAAUCACCAGUUGCAAUCUGAAAAUACCGUUGGUAAUGCAAGAGCAGGAUCAAAUAAUUUUAAAUCAGAUGUUCUAUGACCUUUUAGAUUCAACUCAAGACUUUCAAUACAAGAUGUUGAAUCUAUUGAAUCUAACAAUUAAGCUACUGAACAAGAUGUUGAAGGAGGAGAAAUUAUUAUUAUUAUAGAUCACAAUCUAAGAAGUUAAGAUGUCUAUCUGUAAAGGGAAUCCUAAAAAAGUCCAGUUUGGAUGGUGGUGAAAAGAUUAACAACUCCCAACAACUUCUAAGUUAUGGAAUUUCUUGAAUGGAUGAAAGUUGCUUGUAAGGGGUUCUCCUGCCAUUUAUGUGUACUUUAUGUUUUUCUUGUUGUUGAUGUGUGGUUAUGCUCCAACGGUGGUUCUUUAAGGAAGCUAGUGUGGAAGAAUGAGAAGAUGCUGAAAUACUUAACCGAAUAUCAGAAUAAAAAAGGGGGUAAAGUCAAGCUACAAUCUAUGAUGAUACCAUGUCUGAAUCCGAUCAACUGAGAAAGGGAAAGCGUUGUAAGGUAAUCAUGGAUUACAUGCUAACAAACCCGAGUGACACGGCAACUUGAAUGUUGAUUAACAUCUUUCAUACAAAUACAGAGGUUGAGCUUGUUGGGUGCUUAAUGGACCUGAUUAGAGACAGUUUGUUAAUAAAUGAAGGCAUAGAUAGUGAAGUCCCUCCUUAACUUAGUGUAGAUUUUCUGGUUUAUUAGCUUGGAACAGGAAUAUGAAAUUAAGUAGAUGAAGUUUUGAGAUUUGGAAAAAGUAUUUUAGACUGUUGGCGCUUUUUAAUGCAAAUUUCGUUUUGAUUUACUGU